rnacentral:rRNA from 1 species
UGCAGUCGAGCGCAGGAAGCAAGUUGAUCCCCUUCGGGGGUGACGCUUGUGGAAUGAGCGGCGGACGGGUGAGUAACACGUGGGCAACCUGCCUGUAAGACUGGGAUAACCCCGGGAAACCGGGGCUAAUACCGGAUAAUACUUUCUUUUGCAUAAAGGAAAGUUGAAAGGCGGCUUCGGCUGUCACUUACAGAUGGGCCCGCGGCGCAUUAGCUAGUUGGUGAGGUAACGGCUCACCAAGGCGACGAUGCGUAGCCGACCUGAGAGGGUGAUCGGCCACACUGGGACUGAGACACGGCCCAGACUCCUACGGGAGGCAGCAGUAGGGAAUCUUCCGCAAUGGACGAAAGUCUGACGGAGCAACGCCGCGUGAGUGAUGAAGGUUUUCGGAUCGUAAAACUCUGUUGUUAGGGAAGAACAAGUACGAUAGUAACUGAUCGUACCUUGACGGUACCUAACCAGAAAGCCACGGCUAACUACGUGCCAGCAGCCGCGGUAAUACGUAGGUGGCAAGCGUUGUCCGGAAUUAUUGGGCGUAAAGCGCUCGCAGGCGGUCCUUUAAGUCUGAUGUGAAAUCUCGCGGCUCAACCGCGAACGGUCAUUGGAAACUGGAGGACUUGAGUACAGAAGAGGAGAGUGGAAUUCCACGUGUAGCGGUGAAAUGCGUAGAGAUGUGGAGGAACACCAGUGGCGAAGGCGACUCUCUGGUCUGUAACUGACGCUGAGGAGCGAAAGCGUGGGGAGCGAACAGGAUUAGAUACCCUGGUAGUCCACGCCGUAAACGAUGAGUG